UACAGAGGGUGCGAGCGUUGUCCGGAAUCACUGGGCGUAAAGGGCGCGUAGGUGGUGGCUUAAGCGUGCGGUGAAAGCUCGGGGCUCAACUCCGAGUCGGCCGUGCGAACUGGGCUCACUGGAGCAUAGUAGAGGCAGGUGGAAUUCCGGGUGUAGCGGUGGAAUGCGUAGAGAUCCGGAAGAACACCGGUGGCGAAGACGGCCUGCUGGGCUAUGGCUGACACUGAGGCGCGACAGCGUGGGGAGCAAACAGG
rnacentral:rRNA from 1 species